AGUGAACGCUGGCGGUAGGCCUAACACAUGCAAGUCGAACGGCAGCACAGUAAGAGCUUGCUCUUACGGGUGGCGAGUGGCGGACGGGUGAGGAAUACAUCGGAAUCUACUUUUUCGUGGGGGAUAACGUAGGGAAACUUACGCUAAUACCGCAUACGACCUACGGGUGAAAGCAGGGGAUCUUCGGACCUUGCGCGAUUGAAUGGGCCGAUGUCGGAUUAGCUAGUUGGCGGGGUAAAGGCCCACCAAGGCGACGAUCCGUAGCUGGUCUGAGAGGAUGAUCAGCCACACUGGAACUGAGACACGGUCCAGACUCCUACGGGAGGCAGCAGUGGGGAAUAUUGGACAAUGGGCGCAAACCUGAUCCAGCCAUACCGCGUGGGUGAAGAAGGCCUUCGGGUUGUAAAGCCCUUUUGUUGGGAAAGAAAAGCAGCAGGUUAAUACCCCGCUGUUCUGACGGUACCCAAAGAAUAAGCACCGGCUAACUUCGUG
rnacentral:rRNA from 1 species